rnacentral:rRNA from 1 species
AUUGAACGCUGGCGGCAGGCCUAACACAUGCAAGUCGAGCGGAUGAAGGGUGCUUGCUCCUGGAUUCCGCGGCGGAAGGGUGUGUAAUGCAUAGGAAUAUGCCUGGUAGUAGUGGAUGACGUCUGCAAACGGGCGCUAAUAACACAUACGUCCUGAGGGUGCAAGUGGGGGGUGUUCGGACCGCACGCUCUGUGAUGAGCCUAGGUCGGAUUAGCUAGUUGGUGGGUUAAUGACCUACCUAGCCGACGAUCCGUGACUGGCCUGAGUGAAUGAUCAGUCACACUGGAACGGAGACACGGUCCAGACUCCUACGGGAGGCAGCAGUGUGGAAUAGUGGACAAUAGGCGAAAGCCUUGUCCAGCCAUGCCGCGUGUGUGAAGAAGGUCUUCGGAUUGUGAAGCACGUUAAGUGGGGAGGAAGGGCAGUAAGUUAAUACCUAGCUGUUUUGACGGUACCAACAGAAUAAGCACCGGCUAACUUCGUG